GGCGGACGGGUGAGUAACGCGUGGGAAUCUACCUAUGAGUGGGGGAUAACUUGGUGAAAACCAAGCUAAUACCGCAUGUGGUCUACGGACUAAAGCAGGGGAUCUUCGGACCUUGCGCUAAUAGAUGAGCCCGCGUUAGAUUAGCUAGUUGGUGGGGUAAAGGCCUACCAAGGCGACGAUCUAUAGCUGGUCUGAGAGGACGAUCAGCCACACUGGGACUGAGACACGGCCCAG
rnacentral:rRNA from 1 species